AGAGUUUGAUCCUGGCUCAGAACGAACGCUGGCGGCGUGGAUAAGACAUGCAAGUCGAACGAGAGAAUUGCUAGCUUGCUAAUAAUUCUCUAGUGGCGCACGGGUGAGUAACACGUGAGUAACCUGCCCCCGAGAGCGGGAUAGCCCUGGGAAACUGGGAUUAAUACCGCAUAGUAUCGAAAGAUUAAAGCAGCAAUGCGCUUGGGGAUGGGCUCGCGGCCUAUUAGUUAGUUGGUGAGGUAACGGCUCACCAAGGCGAUGACGGGUAGCCGGUCUGAGAGGAUGUCCGGCCACACUGGAACUGAGACACGGUCCAGACACCUACGGGUGGCAGCAGUCGAGAAUCAUUCACAAUGGGGGAAACCCUGAUGGUGCGACGCCGCGUGGGGGAAUGAAGGUCUUCGGAUUGUAAACCCCUGUCAUGUGGGAGCAAAUUAAAAAGAUAGUACCACAAGAGGAAGAGACGGCUAACUCUGUGCCAGCAGCCGCGGUAAUACAGAGGUCUCAAGCGUUGUUCGGAAUCACUGGGCGUAAAGCGUGCGUAGGCUGUUUCGUAAGUCGUGUGUGAAAGGCGCGGGCUCAACCCGCGGACGGCACAUGAUACUGCGAGACUAGAGUAAUGGAGGGGGAACCGGAAUUCUCGGUGUAGCAGUGAAAUGCGUAGAUAUCGAGAGGAACACUCGUGGCGAAGGCGGGUUCCUGGACAUUAACUGACGCUGAGGCACGAAGGCCAGGGGAGCGAAAGGGAUUAGAUACUCCUGUAGUCCUGGCAGUAAACGGUGCACGCUUGGUGUGCGGGGAAUCGACCCCCUGCGUGCCGGAGCUAACGCGUUAAGCGUGCCGCCUGGGGAGUACGGUCGCAAGAUUAAAACUCAAAGAAAUUGACGGGGACCCGCACAAGCGGUGGAGUAUGUGGCUUAAUUCGAUGCAACGCGAAGAACCUUACCUGGGCUUGACAUGUAAUGAACAACAUGUGAAAGCAUGCGACUCUUCGGAGGCGUUACACAGGUGCUGCAUGGCCGUCGUCAGCUCGUGUCGUGAGAUGUUUGGUUAAGUCCAGCAACGAGCGCAACCCCUGUUGCCAGUUACCAGCACGUGAAGGUGGGGACUCUGGCGAGACUGCCCAGAUCAACUGGGAGGAAGGUGGGGACGACGUCAGGUCAGUAUGGCCCUUAUGCCCAGGGCUGCACACGUACUACAAUGCCCAGUACAGAGGGGGCCGAAGCCGCGAGGCGGAGGAAAUCCUAAAAACUGGGCCCAGUUCGGACUGUAGGCUGCAACCCGCCUACACGAAGCCGGAAUCGCUAGUAAUGGCGCAUCAGCUACGGCGCCGUGAAUACGUUCCCGGGUCUUGUACACACCGCCCGUCA
rnacentral:rRNA from 1 species